rnacentral:misc_RNA from 1 species
AGGUGAGCGAAGCGGUCUCGGUCACACCGUUCGUAUCGACGGGGUAGUCAGUGACGAUGGUCACGUCACCGUUGAUCUGCCAACCAUUCAGAUCGAGGCCGUUCGCUUGAGUCACCGGGAAGGAAGCGUGUCGCGGGACGUAGUACGUCCCGACCUUCGGGCCGUCCGGCAGUGCGUUGAACUGCGCGGGCGUCAGCUCGUAGAAGGUAGCCGGGUCGUAGUUGUUGCGGUUGAAGUGGAACUCAGGCAUCGACAACGGCUGUGGACCUUGCGUGCAUGCCUUGAUAUGGCCGCCUGUGGUCCCGGCAUAGCUGUCGUUCGCCCACGUCGUGAGCGUGCCGGUGAUCGCGCCGGAUCCGAUCGCUUUGUAGAGCGAUUGCUGUGAUCCAGCCGG